rnacentral:rRNA from 1 species
CAGCCGCCGCGGUAAUACCGGCGGCCCGAGUGGCGGUCACUAUUAUUGGGCUUAAAGCGUCCGUAGCCGGGUUGGUUAGUCUCCCGGGAAAUCUGGCCGCUUAACGGUCAGAAUUCCGGGAGAUACUGCCAGCCUAGGGACCGGGAGAGGCCGAGGGGAUUCCCGGAGUAGGGGUGAAAUCCUAUAAUCCCGGGAGGACCACCUGUGGCGAAGGCGCUCGGCUGGAACGGGUCCGACGGUGAGGGACGAAGGCCAGGGGAGCAAACCGGAUUAGAUACCCGGGUAGUCCUGGCUGUAAACGAUGCGGACUUUGUGUCGGACAAGCUAUGAGCUUGUCCGGUGCCGGAGGGAAACCGUUAAGUCCGCCGCCUGGGGAGUACGGCCGCAAGGCUGAAACUUAAAGGAAUUGGCGGG